AGAGCGAACGCUGGCGGCAUGCUUAACACAUGCAAGUCGCACGACGGUUUCGGCCGUAGUGGCGGACGGGUGAGUAACGCGUAGGUAUCUAUCCUUGGGUGGGGGAUAACCGUGGGAAACUGCGGCUAAUACCGCAUGACACCUGUGGGUCAAAGGCGCAAGUCGCCUGGGGAGGAGCCUGCGUACGAUUAGCUAGUUGGUGGGGUAAAGGCCUACCAAGGCUACGAUCGUUAGCUGGUCUGAGAGGAUGAUCAGCCACAUUGGGACUGAGACACGGCCCAAACUCCUACGGGAGGCAGCAGUGGGGAAUAUUGGACAAUGGGCGCAAGCCUGAUCCAGCAAUGCCGCGUGGGUGAAGAAGGUUUUCGGAUUGUAAAGCCCUUUCGGCGGGACGAUGAUGACGGUACCCGCAGAAGAAGCCCCGGCUAACUUCGCGCCAGCAGCCGC
rnacentral:rRNA from 1 species